rnacentral:rRNA from 1 species
GAUGAACGCUGGCGGCGUGCCUAACACUUGCAAGUCGAACGAUGAUUGAGAGCUUGCUCUCAUGAUUAGUGGCGCACGGGUGAGUAUACCAUAGAUAAUGUACCUCUUAGUUCGGGAUAGCCACUGGAAACGGUGAUUAAUACCGGAUACUCCUUCUUGUCUCAAGGCAAGUCGGGAAAGUUUUUUCGCUAAGAGAUCAGUCUAUGUCCUAUCAGCUAGUUGGUGAGGUAAUGGCUCACCAAGGCAAUGACGGGUAUCUGGUUUGAGAGGAUGAUCAGACACACUGGAACUGAGACACGGCCCAGACUCCUACGGGAGGCAGCAGUGAGGAAUAUUGCACAAUGGAGGAAACUCUGAUGCAGCAACGCCGCGUGGAGGAUGACGCAUUUCGGUGUGUAAACUCCUUUUAAGAGGGAAGAUAAUGACGGUACCUCUUGAAUAAGCACCGGCUAACUCCGUGCCAGCAGCCGCCGUAA